CCUCAAUUCAAAACAAAAAACUUUGUGAUUUAUAAAUGUUUUAAUUUUUUUUUUUAAAGUUUAAAUAUUGUAUUUAAAGAUAGAUUAAAAGAAAUUAUUAAAAAAAAAAGAGAAAAAAUUAGCAAAAUGAAAUAUUUGCAAAGUUUAUGAAAUAAGUUUUCAUAAUAUAGAAAUUUCAUAUUUGAAUUGAAUGAGCCUGAAGAAGUCAAUCAUUCGAUAAAAAAAAUAUGAAAUAAAAAAACAUUGCCAUGCCACAUACCUCGUCAGAUGUAUUUGUACCGCUGUCAAAAGCAUAUGACUGAUCGAUUGAUAUAGAUUCUUAUUUCAAUUUUUCGAAAUUGUAAUUUUUCCCCCAAAAAUGUGUUUUUGAACUGGAAUGUCAACCACACGUGGGCGAUUAAAGUUGACUGAUUAUCUAUUCGAACAAUAUAAAGAUAAAUAGAAAUCAAUCCUCAUAAUUCUCUAAUAUAAUCACAGAAAGAAAACAACCAUAUCCAUAUUAUUAAGAAUUUAAUUAAAAAUGAAAGAUCGGUUAAAGAGAAAGACUGGUUCACAAAAUUCACACGUCAAGCGUUUCGCCACGAUACGUUGUAUGCAAUUCUGCUUGCUAUACGGUUGGAUGAGUGUCCAUGAGUUUCCAUGAGGGUUGAAGCCGUGGCAAGCCCCAUAAUAGCCCUCGAGCGAAUCCCACCCUCCCCUAUGAACAGAAAAGCUUCGAAAGUGUGCACAACCGCAAAGUCGCCGCCCCUUGCAUGGCGGGCCGAAAUUUGAUUAUGCCCCUUCCACGUGAAUGAAUCCAACGGGAUUCAUCGCUUGGAUGAAACAAGAACACAAACUUCAAGUCUGUUCCGAUUCUUUUUGAUCAUGGUCAUGGUUUAUCUUGUCAGCUAUUAAUCAAAAGGACCAGGAAUUUCCACGCGAGUGGUUUCUUCAUUGAAGAGAGGAUACGGGAUAGAUAGAUUCUAUAAAAGAUCAUUCUGCCAGAUGGCCCGUGCCCGCAACGAACAGAGAAUCUCUUCGUUUCUUUUUUUCAUUUUUCUCUUUCUCAACUUUUCUUUUUGUCCAUGGUAUAACCAUAAUGCAACGUUUUUCACGGUUUUCUAUCUCAAGAUGUAUGUACACAUAUUUCUAAUAUCUUUACUUGCAUCUAAAAAAAUGGAAAUUAUAAAACACAAUAAUAUAUAAUUAUAAAUUUGAUCAUCGAAUCAUUUAUCAAUUUUAAAAAAGAAUUUUAUAUGUUUGUUAAAAACAUAAUAAGUAACAUAAAAAAUAAUAACUGCAAAGUAUUGUCGACACUUUAACAUUAUAAACAAUAUUCAUUUAUAUCAUGAAUAAUCGGAAAGAAAUCCUAACUGCGAAUACUGAUUAUCAUGUUUGAUGGCAGAACAACCUUUUGCCGAAAAGUAUUUGAUGAAACAUGGCGUGCAAAUUUAACAGUGGGAUAUCCCUUUUCAAUAUUUCUUUAUUGAUGCUUUCAUAGUUAUGUUCCAAUACUUUUGUGAAAAUAUAACUGCGUGAAAUAUUAUAAAUACAGAACAAAUCGAUCAUAUCAAUAAUGAUGUCAAAAUUUCGCGGCCAUAGAAGCAUAAAAUUUGAUCUGAUGAAAUAAUAAUUCUACUAAAUAUUUAGAAUUUAUCUUACAUAUAUUUACCAAUUAAAAUUUUUUAUUGCAUUUAAAAU